GUGUGAGGUGAUCUGGCUGCACCAUCUGUCACUCCAUAUCAUAUCACCAAGGACAAUUCAGCUGAUCUCACUAACUAGGCAGGGGUCCCCUUCCUCCACUCCAGGUGUGUCCCCACUAAAGCAACACAGUUGGUUAGAAGCAUGAUCUCCCUCAAAAGAAAACUGAUUGUCAGUCAAGGGUGAAUGAGUAGCUUCAGGUCCCUACUAGAACUUCCAAAUAAGCUCUCAGUCACAGUCACAGUCACAGAUUUGGCCAAUAGAAGCCACUUUAAGAGCUGGUUUCUGGCCGGGCGGUGGUGGCACAUGCCUUUAAUC
ensembl:misc_RNA 7SK 7SK RNA